UGUAUGGAUCAACCUUGCAUGCAUCACUUUCCCCACAUUUCCCUUUCCUGUGUGUUAAUUAUUUUAUUAAAGAGACCGACUUUAUUUUUAAUCGAUUGUACAAAAGCCCGGCCCGGAGGUCAAUUAACCUAAUGGACCACCUUCCACACACCCGCCUUCCAAAAAGGAACCCACUUCUUUUUUUCUGGUCAUAAAUCACUAAGUUAAAGGUGCUUCUUGGCGGGGGUGGGUUAUUGUACAGCAGCCAGCUGUGUGCAUUGCAUUGGUUGAUGCAACGUUUCCCUGGGCAGAAAGCAGCCACUGAGUGACUUUCAUACUCAUCAAUGGCAGAGAGACUCAGGGCAAGGGGGUGUGAUAGCAAAAUCUGAAAGCCAGCCAGUAAGGAGAACAAUGCAACCGUCCUUUGCACCGUGCGCUGGCUGCUAAACGGGUACUAAACACACAACAGAGUCAUACUGCAAUGCAACAACCACAGAAGGAAGAGACAACGGUCGAUUUCGCACCGGAGGGGAAAUAUAUUGCUUGCACUCCGAGCUAGUUAAUAGGAACAGCCCCGGUGCAGCAACAUCUCACGGCAGAAAAGUCCCAUUGCAACAGAGCUGCAGCCCCAAUUCCCAGUGACCUCAGUGCAACAGAGGGAAGGAGUGCAGCACCCACACUAAGAGCCACCUGAGGAGAAGUGGAUUAUUGUCCAAAGCCAUAUGCCCUAUGGAGGGGAAAGGGCUGCAACAUAUGCAGUGAGAUGGCUCCUAGGAGGCGGCAUAUGGCCCAUGUGGAGACAGACCUCACCCAGGAAUGGGUCGCAGUGCUUGCAAAGGGCCUCUUCUCCAUCUUAAUGAUUUGGAUCAUGAGGUUUAAGAGCAAAUACCCGUUGGAAUAGAACAGCACAACAAGCACACAAAAAAUGCCUUGCUGGUACAGCAUUUCAAAAGACUAGCUGCUUCUCCAAGACCGCAUCCUGGCCUGGCCUGACAAUCCCAUGGAGUUUGUGCAUUUUGUACUUUAUGAGAUUAUUGUUAUACAAAGUGUCAGUGUGUGCUGUAUGAGACACAAAUAAAUCCAAGCUUUCCUCAUCAA